UACGAAGGGGGCUAGCGUUGCUCGGAAUCACUGGGCGUAAAGGGUGCGUAGGCGGGUCUUUAAGUCAGGGGUGAAAUCCUGGAGCUCAACUCCAGAACUGCCUUUGAUACUGAAGUAUCUUGAGUCCGGGAGAGGUGAGUGGAACUGCGAGUGUAGAGGUGAAAUUCGUAGAUAUUCGCAAGAACACCAGUGGCGAAGGCGGCUCACUGGCCCGGUACUGACGCUGAGGCACGAAAGCGUGGGGAGCAAACGGG
rnacentral:rRNA from 1 species